AGCGAACGCUGGCGGCAGGCCUAACACAUGCAAGUCGAACGAACUCUUCGGAGUUAGUGGCGGACGGGUGAGUAACACGUCGGAACGUGCCUUUUGGUUCGGAAUAACUCAGGGAAACUUGUGCUAAUACCGAAUGUGCCCUUCGGGGGAAAGAUUUAUCGCCAUUAGAGCGGCCCGCGUCUGAUUAGCUAGUUGGUGAGGUAACGGCUCACCAAGGCGACGAUCAGUAGCUGGUCUGAGAGGAUGACCAGCCACACUGGGACUGAGACACGGCCCAGACUCCUACGGGAGGCAGCAGUGGGGAAUCUUGCGCAAUGGGCGAAAGCCUGACGCAGCCAUGCCGCGUGAAUGAUGAAGGUCUUAGGAUUGUAAAAUUCUUUCACCGGGGACGAUAAUGACGGUACCCGGAGAAGAAGCCCCGGCUAACUUCGUG
rnacentral:rRNA from 1 species